rnacentral:rRNA from 1 species
AGUGAACGCUGGCGGUAGGCCUAACACAUGCCAGUCGAACGGCAGCACAGUAAGAGCUUGCUCUUACGGGUGGCGAGUGGCGGACGGGUGAGGAAUACAUCGGAAUCUACUUUUUCGUGGGGGAUAACGUAGGGAAACUUACGCUAAUACCGCAUAAGACCUACGGGUGAAAGCAGGGGAUCUUCGGACCUUGCGCGAUUGAAUGAGCCGAUGUCGGAUUAGCUAGUUGGCGGGGUAAAGGCCCACCAAGGCGACGAUCCGUAGCUGGUCUGAGAGGAUGAUCAGCCACACUGGAACUGAGACACGGUCCAUACUCCUACUGGAUGCAGCAGUGGUGAAUAUUGGACAAUGGGCGCAAGCCUGAUCCAGCCAUACCGCGUGGGUGAAGAAGGCCUUCGGGUUGUAAAGCCCUUUUGUUGGGAAAGAAAAGCAGCAGGUUAAUACCCCGCUGUUCUGACGGUACCCAAAGAAUAAGCACCGGCUAACUUCGUG